rnacentral:rRNA from 1 species
GACGAACGCUGGCGGCGUGCCUAAUACAUGCAAGUCGAACGCAGUGGGGACGGGUGAGUAACCCGUGGGUAACCUCCAAUCAGAGGGGAUAAACCUUUGAAACAGGUGCUAAACCGAUACUGAUGGAUGGACCCGCGGUGCAUUAGCUAGUUGGUGAGGUAACGGCGCACCAAGGCCACGAAGCAUAGCCGACUUGAUAGGGUGAUCGGACACACUGGGACUUAUGCACGGCCCAGACUCCUACGGGAGGCAGCAGUAGGGAAUCUUCGGCAAUGGACGAAAGUCUGACCGAGCAACGCCGCGUGAGUGAAGAAGGUUUUCGGAUCUUAAAACUCUGUUGUUAGAGAAGCGGUAUCUAACCAGAAAGCCACGGCUAACUACGUGCCAGCCGCCGCGGUAAUUC